rnacentral:rRNA from 1 species
UACGUAGGGGGCAAGCGUUGUCCGGAAUCAUUGGGCGUAAAGAGCGCGUAGGCGGCCCUGUAAGUCCGCUGUGAAAGUCAAGGGCUCAACCCUUGGAUGCCGGUGGAUACUGCAGGGCUAGAGUCCGGAAGAGGCGAGUGGAAUUCCUGGUGGUAGCGGUGAAAUGCGCAGAUAUCAGGAGGAACACCGAUGGCGAAGGCAGCUCGCUGGGACGGUACUGACGCUGAGGCGCGAAAGCGUGGGGAGCAAACAGG